rnacentral:tRNA from 1 species
GGGAAUGUAGCUCAGUGGUAGGGUGCUUGCCUGGCAUGUAUGAGGCGCUGGGUUCAAUCCCCGGUAUCACCA